ACCAGGUGUGGCCACUAGCCUAUAUGAAGGCCCAAAAUUGUGUGUUCCUUUCUGCUCUGACAAUGGCAUGCCCAUUCGUGCGAGAUGUGGUGGAUGAAGAAGCACUUGUGCUGAGGAGCGCCUUCAGGCGAGAAAGGGUCUUCAGGGACCGGUUGGACCCACUGGCCUUCCCUGAUGACCAUCUAUAUGAAAGAUACAGGUUUUCUGCAGAUGGCAUCAGGUAUCUAUGCAGACUACUGGGUCCCAGGAUUAAGCACCGCACUGCACGGAGCCAUGCACUGAGUGUGGAGCAAAUGGUUUGUGUGGCCUUGCGCUUUUUUGCUAGUGGAGCCUUCCUGUACUCAGUGGGGAUGCAGAACAGCUGAACAAGGCCACAAUUUGCCGCACAAUAAGGAGUGUGUGUCUGGCUAUCAAAGCAUUAGCAGAUGUCUUCAUCUCCUUCCCUGGCCACAGAAGACUCUGUGACAUCAAAGAGGAGUUCUAUAGGAUUGCAGAUGGUCUGCAAUGCUGACUGUGUGAUCAGCAAUGUUGUGGCAAAAUAGCCUGGCUCAGUCCAUGACUCCAGAAUCUUUCGGGCCUCUGAAAUCUAUCACAAGGUGAAUUCUCUGGUGUGUUGCUGGGAGACAGGGGGUAUGGCUGCCAGCCUUUUCUCCUGACACCUUUCACAGACCCCCAGGAAGCACAGCAGGCCUACAACCAUGCCCAUGCCAGGACCAGGGCCAGAGUUGAAAUGACCUUUGGCCUCCUGAAGGCACGCUUUCACUGCCUUCACAAAUUAAGGGUCAGCCCUGUUAGGGCAUGUGAUAUUACUGUGGCUUGUGCUGUCCUCCACAAUGUGGCCUGCCUGAGGAAGGAGAGGGCCCCAGAGUGCCACCAGCCAUGGACUGGGACAAUCCGGCAAUCUUCCCUGAUGACGACAGUGGUCGGCUGCUGAGGGACCAAUAUGUGUUGAAUUAUUUUAGUUAGUAUGUGUGCUUUCAAUUUUGGUUAAAUAUGUCCUGCGGUGGCAGAGGAAUUUGUUUUUUUUUGGGUUCGUUUUUGACGAAUUUGGCCUCUUAU